rnacentral:tRNA from 1 species
GAAAGAUUACACAAGAACUGCUAAUUCCUGUACC